AGACGUCUACAUUAGAUACCCGGGUAGUCCCAGCCGUAAACUAUGCGCGUUAGGUGUAUCGGUGACCACGAGUUACCGAGGUGCCGAAGGGAAACCGUGAAACGUGCCGCCUGGGAAGUACGGUCGCAAGGCUGAAACUUAAAGGAAUUGGCGGGGAGCACCACAACAGGUGGAGCCUGCGGUUUAAUUGGACUCAACGCCGGGAAGCUCACCGGAUAAGACAGCAGAAUGAUUGCCGGGCUGAAGACCCUGCAUGACUAGCUG
rnacentral:rRNA from 1 species